AUUGAACGCUGGCGGCAGGCCUAACACAUGCAAGUCGAACGAGUGGCGGACGGGUGAGUAAUGUCUGGGAAACUGCCUGAUGGAGGGGGAUAACUACUGGAAACGGUAGCUAAUACCGCAUACCAUCGGAUGUGCCCAGAUGGGAUGAGCUAGUAGGUGGGGUAAAGGCUCACCUAGGCGACGAUCCCUAGCUGGUCUGAGAGGAUGACCAGCCACACUGGAACGUAGACACGGUCCAGACUCCUACGGGAGGCAGCAGUGGGGAAUCUUGCACAAUGGGCGAAAGCCUGAUGCAGCCAUGCCGCGUGUAUGAAGAAGGCCUUCGGGUUGUAAAGUUCUUUCAGCGGGGAGGCGUUACCCAACCAAGAAGCCCCGGCUAACUCCGUGCCAGCCGCCGCGGUAAUUC
rnacentral:rRNA from 1 species